UCCGAGUUGACCCCGGCAGUCUCCCAUGAGUCCCCGGCAUAACCCGCUGGCAACAUGGGACAAGGGUUGCGCUCGUUGCGGGACUUAACCCAACAUCUCACGACACGAGCUGACGACAGCCAUGCACCACCUGUACACCGACUCAAAGAGGGACCAUAUCUCUACGGUUUUCCGGCAUAUGUCAAGCCUUGGUAAGGUUCUUCGCGUUGCGUCGAAUUAAGCCACAUGCUCCGCCGCUUGUGCGGGCCCCCGUCAAUCCCUUUGAGUUUUAGCCUUGCGGCCGUACUCCCCAGGCGGGGCGCUUAAUGCGUUAGCUACGGCACGGACAACGUGGAAUGUCGCCCACACCUAGCGCCCAACGUUUACAGCGUGGACUAC
rnacentral:misc_RNA from 1 species